rnacentral:rRNA from 1 species
GAACGUACGCUGGCGGCACGCCUAACACAUGCAAGUCGAACGAAGUAGCAAUACUUAGUGGCAGACGGGUGAGUAACAUGUAGGUAUCUACCCUUUGGCCUGGAAUAACACGAGGAAACUUGUGCUAAUACCGGAUAAGUCUUUACGGAGAAAGCUUUAUGCACCAUUGGAUGAGCCUGCACUUGAUUAGUUUGUUGGUGGGGUAAUGGCCUACCAAGACUGUGAUCAAUAGCUGAUUUGAGAGGAUGAUCAGCCACAUUGGGACUGAGACACGGCCCAAACUCCUACGGGAGGCAGCAGUGGGGAAUCUUGCACAAUGGAGGAAACUCUGAUGCAGCGAUGCCGCGUGAGUGAAGAAGGCCUUUGGGUUGUAAAGCUCUUUCGUCGGGGAAGAAAAUGACUGUACCCGAAUAAGAAGGUCCGGCUAACUUCGUGCCAGCAGCCGCGGUAAUACGAAGGGACCUAGCGUAGUUCGGAAUUACUGGGCUUAAAGAGUUCGUAGGUGGUUGAAAAAGUUAGUGGUGAAAUCCCAGAGCUUAACUCUGGAACUGCCAUUAAAACUUUUCAGCUAGAGUAUGAUAGAGGAAAGCAGAAUUUCUAGUGUAGAGGUGAAAUUCGUAGAUAUUAGAAAGAAUACCAAUUGCGAAGGCAGCUUUCUGGAUCAUUACUGACACUGAGGAACGAAAGCAUGGGUAGCGAAGAGGAUUAGAUACCCUCGUAGUCCAUGCCGUAAACGAUGUGUGUUAGACGUUGGAAAUUUAUUUUCAGUGUCGCAGCGAAAGCGAUAAACACACCGCCUGGGGAGUACGACCGCAAGGUUAAAACUCAAAUGAAUUGACGGGGACCCGCACAAGUAGUGGAGCAUGUGGUUUAAUUCGAAGAUACGCGCAGAACCUUACCAACACUUGACAUGUUCGUCGCGACUCUAAGAGAUUAGAGUUUUCGGUUCGGCCGGACGAAACACAGGUGCUGCAUGGCUGUCGUCAGCUCGUGUCGUGAGAUGUUGGGUUAAGUCCCGCAACGAGCGCAACCCUCACUUUUAGUUGCCAUCAUUAAGUUGGGCAUUCUGAAAGAACUGCCAGUGAUAAGCUGGAGGAAGGUGGGGAUGACGUCAAGUCCUCAUGGCCCUUACGUGUUGGGCUACACACGUGCUACAAUGGUAUCUACAACAGGAAGCAAGACUGCGAGGUCAAGCAAAUCCUUAAAAGAUACCUCAGUUCGGAUUGCACUCUGCAACUCGAGUGCAUGAAGCUGGAAUUACUAGUAAUCGUGGAUCAGCGUGCCACGGUGAAUGCGUUCCCGGGUCUUGUACACACCGCCCGUCACACCAUGGGAGUUGGUUCUACCUUAAGGCAAGGUUUUAAACCCUUGACCACGGUAUAGUCAGCGACUGGGGU